rnacentral:rRNA from 1 species
GGACCCGCACAAGCGGUGGAGCAUGUGGUUUAAUUCGAAGCAACGCGAAGAACCUUACCUGGUCUUGACAUCCUUCUGAACAAAGCGUAACGGUUUUGGGCCUUCGGGACAGAUGAGACAGGUGGUGCAUGGUUGUCGUCAGCUCGUGUCGUGAGAUGUUGGGUUAAGUCCCGCAACGAGCGCAACCCUUAUCCUUAGUAGCCAGCAGGUAAAGCUGGGCACUCUGGGGAGACUGCCGGGGAUAACCCGGAGGAAGGUGGGGAUGACGUCAAAUCAUCAUGCCCCUUAUGAUCAGGGCUACACACGUGCUACAAUGGCGUAAACAGAGGGAAGCCAACCCGCGAGGGGGAGCAAAUCCCAAAAAUAACGUCUCAGUUCGGAUUGUAGUCUGCAACUCGACUACAUGAAGCCGGAAUCGCUAGUAAUCGCGAAUCAGAAUGUCG